UAAUUUUAUUGAGCCAAUCUGAUUUAUUUAAUGUAGACAACUGUUAGGAUGGCAGCUGAACUCAUUUCAUUUUUUGCCUGGACCAAAAGGACAAUGGCAUCCGUAACAGAAAUUAUGGGGCAGAACUGCACUGUGUGCUAACAAUGGGACAUGAAACAUCACAUAGUGAUAAAGCAUAUUAGGGCAGAAAAUAAAUUAAUCCUAUUUAAAGAUCUAUCACUGCAUGUUUGCUAUUUUAGAACAAACUGAAUCUGGAGCCAAUAUUUGAUUUGGAAAAGCUAUUAAAAUACAAUGCAAACAUGCAAAAUGGAAUUUGAAGACUUCAACUCUUGGGAUCUUGAAAAGCAAGAGAGGAAAGAAAAUUGUCUUGCAGAUCAAUAAUCCACAGAGAUUUUCAGGAGAGACACACUGUCUCCAUUAAGCACACAAAACUCAAGUUAUAGAAGAAUAAUUUUCAGCACUUCCCAUUCAGUCACACUGUUUCUGCUGAGAAUCAGAGUUGCCAGUGGUGUAUCUAUUGGUUCCACCUGCUUCUUGAGUGUCUUCCAGAACAUCAUGAUGGUCCCAGAAACUCCAAGAUGUCAGAACUUAAAAUAAAAGCUCUACGCGCCUCUCUAACAAUCAGCGGCUGGAUCCUAACUGUGGGGGUAAAUACCACUUUCUCUCUUCUUGUGACUGAGAAUGAACAGUGGAAACAUCACAAAGAAGUUUGACUGGGAUUGCUGAAUAACAAGAUCACACAAUCACCAUUUGCCUUACUUUUAACUUCCUUCCUGUCGGCCAUUUAGGAUUCAUGAUCUGGGCCAGCAUCUCCAUAGUUUUCAAGCUCUUAAGAUAUAAACAGUGGUCCAGCACAUUCACAGGAACAACAUCUCCAGAAUUUCCCUGGAAGUGAGGGUUACCCAAGGCAUGCUUGUCUUGAUAAGCACCUUUGUAUCAUUUUAAGCUCUCUCUUCCACCUUUUCAUUUCAUUUGGCUCUUUCUGAAAAUCCCUGUUGGUGGGUGCUGAACCCCUCUGUCCUAAUCACCCCAUGGUUUUUUAACAAUCAGCCCUUUUGUUCUCUGGAGCCCUGACCUUAUUGUGUCCAGGGUCAUCUCUGCACGCUGCAGAAGGAAUACACAACCUUCUAAAAUGACAAGAUACCUAUAAA
rnacentral:lncRNA from 1 species